rnacentral:rRNA from 1 species
GACGAACGCUGGCGGCGUGCUUAACACAUGCAAGUCGAACGGAAAGGCCCUGCUUUUGUGGGGUGCUCGAGUGGCGAACGAGUGAGUAACAAGUGAGUAACCUGCCCUUGACUUUGGGAUAACUUCAGGAAACUGGGGCUAAUACCGGAUAGGAGCUCCUGCUGCAUGGUGGGGGUUGGAAAGUUUCGGCGGUUGGGGAUGGACGCGCGGCUUAUCAGCUUGUUGGUGGGGUAGUGGCUUACCAAGGCUUUGACGGGUAGCCGGCCUGAGAGGGUGACCGGCCACAUUGGGACUGGGAUACGGCCCAGACUCCUACGGGAGGCAGCAGUGGGGAAUAUUGCACAAUGGGCGGAAGCCUGAUGCAGCAACGCCGCGUGCGGGAUGACGGCCUUCGGGUUGUAAACCGCUUUCGCCUGUGACGAAGCGUGAGUGACGGUAAUGGGUAAAGAAGCACCGGCUAACUACGUG